UACGUAGGUGGCGAGCGUUGUCCGGAUUUACUGGGCGUAAAGAGCGCGCAGGCGGUCGUUCAAGUCGAGUGUGAAAGCCCCCGGCUCAACUGGGGAGGGUCAUUCGAUACUGAUCGACUCGAAGGCAGGAGAGGGUAGUGGAAUUCCCGGUGUAGCAGUGAAAUGCGUAGAUAUCAGGAGGAACACCGAUGGCGAAGGCAGGUCUCUGGGCUGACACUGACGCUCAUGCACGAAAGCGUGGGGAGCAAACAGG
rnacentral:rRNA from 1 species